rnacentral:rRNA from 1 species
GAGACAGCAGCAGCCGCGGUAAUACGUAGGUCCCGAGCGUUGUCCGGAUUUAUUGGGCGUAAAGCGAGCGCAGGCGGUUAGAUAAGUCUGAAGUUAAAGGCUGUGGCUUAACCAUAGUACGCUUUGGAAACUGUUUAACUUGAGUGCAAGAGGGGAGAGUGGAAUUCCAUGUGUAGCGGUGAAAUGCGUAGAUAUAUGGAGGAACACCGGUGGCGAAAGCGGCUCUCUGGCUUGUAACUGACGCUGAGGCUCGAAAGCGUGGGGAGCAAACAGGAUUAGAUACCCCAGUAGUCCCUGUCUCUUAUACA